rnacentral:pre_miRNA from 1 species
AUCACCUAGGGAGCUGGUUAAGAUGCAGAUUCGCUAAGUCUGGGGGGACCUGAGACUCUGCAUUUCUAACCUGCUCCCAGGUGAUGCUGA